GUUGCUUUUGGUGGUGGUGAUUGUUUACUUUCCCCCUCUGGCUGAUUACACUGUAAAAUAGUUCUCACUCGUCUUCCUUAUCCCCCAUCCCGGAAGAACAGAAGUUGUAAAAGUUCCUGAUGAGUUAUGUGCACACUUCUACAUUUUCAGGUUAUAAAGUGUUUCUAAAUGAUUACUUUGCUUCAUUUUAGUAGCUCCUCUUGAUGUUGUCAAAACUCGACUGCAAGCCCAAAGCAAUCCGUUCCCCAAAGGAAAAUGUUUUGUAUACUCCAGUGGCCAGAUGGAUCAUACGUGUGUUUGUGAGAAUGGAGAUGGCAAGGCAUGCUAUAAAAGAAAUGGGCAUUUCAAAGGGACAUUGGAUGCUUUUGUGAAAAUUAUUCAAAUAGAGGGAAUUAAGUCUCUCUGGAGUGGACUUUCCCCGA
rnacentral:lncRNA from 1 species